GCCUAAUACAUGCAAGUAGAACGCUGAAGGAGGAGCUUGCUUCUCUGGAUGAGUUGCGAACGGGUGAGUAACGCGUAGGUAACCUGCCUGGUAGCGGGGGAUAACUAUUGGAAACGAUAGCUAAUACCGCAUAAUAGUAGAUGUUGCAUGACAUUUACUUAAAAGGUGCAAUUGCAUCACUACCAGAUGGACCUGCGUUGUAUUAGCUAGUUGGUGGGGUAACGGCUCACCAAGGCGACGAUACAUAGCCGACCUGAGAGGGUGAUCGGCCACACUGGGACUGAGACACGGCCCAGACUCCUACGGGAGGCAGCAGUAGGGAAUCUUCGGCAAUGGACGGAAGUCUGACCGAGCAACGCCGCGUGAGUGAAGAAGGUUUUCGGAUCGUAAAGCUCUGUUGUAAGAGAAGAACGAGUGUGAGAGUGGAAAGUUCACACUGUGACGGUAUCUUACCAGAAAGGGACGGCUAACUAC
rnacentral:rRNA from 1 species